rnacentral:rRNA from 1 species
GUAACCGUUAAUCGGGAAAUACUGGGCGUAAGCGCGCGUAGGCGGUUUAUUAAGUCAGAUGUGAAAGCCCCGAAGAUCAACCUGGGAAUUGCAUUUGAGACUGGUAGGCUAGAGUGUGGUAGAGGUGAGUGGAAUUUCAGGUGUAGCGGUGAAAUGCGUAGAGAUCUGAAGGAACAUCAGUGGCGAAGGCGACUCACUGGGCCAUUACUGACGCUGAGGUGCGAAAGCGUGGGUAGCAAACAGGAUUAGAUACCCUGGUAGUCCACGCCCUAAACGAUGCCAACUAGGUGUAUGGAGAAUUUAUUCUUUGUGUAUCGAAGCUAACGCGAUAAGUUGACCGCCUGGGGAGUACGGUCGCAAGACUAAAACUCAAAUGAAUUGACGGGGGCCCGCACAAGCGGUUUUUGCUUGUGGUUUAAUUCGAUGCAACGCGAAGAACCUUACCUGGCCUUGACAUGUACGGAAGAUUGAAGAGAUUCGAUUGGGCCUUCGGGAACCGUAACACAGGUGCUGCAUGGCUG